CCUACGGGAGGCAGCAGUGGGGAAUUUUGGACAAUGGGCGCAAGCCUGAUCCAGCAAUGCCGCGUGCAGGAUGAAGGCCUUCGGGUUGUAAACUGCUUUUGUACGGAACGAAACGGUGAGCUCUAAUACAGUUUGCUAAUGACGGUACCGUAAGAAUAAGCACCGGCUAACUACGUGCCAGCAGCCGCGGUAAUACGUAGGGUGCGAGCGUUAAUCGGAAUUACUGGGCGUAAAGCGUGCGCAGGCGGUGAUGUAAGACAGAUGUGAAAUGCCCGGGCUCAACCUGGGACCUGCAUUUGUGACUGCAUCGCUAGAGUACGGUAGAGGGGGAUGGAAUUCCGCGUGUAGCAGUGAAAUGCGUAGAUAUGCGGAGGAACACCGAUGGCGAAGGCAAUCCCCUGGACCUGUACUGACGCUCAUGCACGAAAGCGUGGGGAGCAAACAGGAUUAGAUACCCUGGUAGUCCACGCCCUAAACGAUGUCAACUGGUUGUUGGGUCUUCACUGACUCAGUAACGAAGCUAACGCGUGAAGUUGACCGCCUGGGGAGUACGGCCGCGAAGGUUGAAACUCAAAGGAAUUGACGGGCGNGAGACGNGCGAGGACGACGACGAGGGGAGGAGG
rnacentral:rRNA from 1 species